CCAAGCAUGGAGCCCAACACUGGGGCUCCAACUCACAACCCUGAGAUCAAGACCUAUGCUGAGAUCAAGAUUCAGAUACUUAACUGACUAAGCCACCCAGGCACGCCAUGAAUUACUAUUUCUGCUAAAGCCCCAGGAGCUCUCCAGCUUGCUCAUCCCUGCCACUGGGGUUCUGUGCAGACACAGGUAGAGAAAAAAAACAGCAUUGGCAAGGUGAAGGAGCAACACUGAAAGUCACACUCGGACUCAGGUUUAGGCUGCCUUGAACAUGCUGGCCCUGUGGCACCCACUGACCUGUGGAGAGAAAAGCAUCCCAUCCUACGGACCACCACCCACCCAGACAGAGUGCAGAUGGGCUCUGUUGAGCCUUUUGUGAUACCUGCUCUUGGAACCGAGCCACCACACUGUGAGGAAGUCCAAGCCACCCUGUGGAGAGGCGGGUAUGGAGAGAAGCAGCAUACAGUGACUCGAAGCCGGUGAGUGAGUCAUCUUGGAAGUGGCUCUUCCAGCGCCAGCUGACGCCACGUGAGGCAGAGAAUAGGUCCUGAGCAAAAGGUUCCAAGGCCAUUACAGAACAGAGAACCCACAGAACAUCAGACUGCCUUGACUUGGGUAUGCUAUGCUACCUGUGUGUGUGUGUGCGUGUGUGACACGUGUGCAUGUGUGUGGUACAUGCUAAGUAUUCAAAAGUGAUGGCUGUUGUUCCCAUGUGUUAUUGAUGCUGGUGGUGGUGUUACUGGGCUCCUCCAGAAUUGUUCUUCAAACUUCAGGGAAGUCUGGUUAAUUCACUACCUACAAGCCAUCCUUCUGCUUUGUUUCACGGACUCAUCUGCAAAGUGUUUUUUAAUUUAAGCAAGCGGCUUUGACAACCCUCAGGUUGUCACACACAAAUACACACCUUACCUUUCAAACACCCGCUGCUAUUGCACGCCUAUAUCCAGAUGCUACCCCCAUUCAUCCAGUUGCAUCAACAGUCCCUAAAAUCCCACUUCUCCAAGCCCAGCUGCCCCAGAUUCUCUCAGAGUUGACACGAACAUGCACGCUCACACCCUCAGCUCAUCUGACCGCGUGGGUGCCAUCGGCACGGUUCCCCUCCUGCUCCGUGUGCAAAACCUCCUGCCGGGGACAGCCGAUGUGAAGGCUGCUUUCAUGUGGGCAGCAGCCUCUAUAAUUUGCAUUUGAGAUUUUUUAAAAGUAUUGCAAAU